AUGGGACAUCGAGCAUUUAAU
rnacentral:miRNA from 1 species